AUUGAACGCUGGCGGCAUGCUUUACACAUGCAAGUCGAACGGCAGCGCGGGCCUCGGCCUGGCGGCGAGUGGCGAACGGGUGAGUAAUACAUCGGAACGUGCCCAGUAGUGGGGGAUAGCUCGGCGAAAGCCGGAUUAAUACCGCAUACGACCUGAGGGUGAAAGCGGGGGAUCUUCGGACCUCGCGCUAUUGGAGCGGCCGAUGGCAGAUUAGCUAGUUGGUGGGGUAAAGGCCUACCAAGGCGACGAUCUGUAGCUGGUCUGAGAGGACGACCAGCCACACUGGGACUGAGACACGGCCCAGACUCCUACGGGAGGCAGCAGUGGGGAAUUUUGGACAAUGGGCGAAAGCCUGAUCCAGCAAUGCCGCGUGUGUGAUGAAGGCCUUCGGGUUGUAAAGCACUUUUGGCGGGAACGAAAAAGACUGUGCCAAUACCACGGUUCGAUGACGGUACCCGCAGAAUAAGCACCGGCUAACUACGUG
rnacentral:rRNA from 1 species